rnacentral:lncRNA from 1 species
AUGGCUCAACUGGAGCAUGGUGAUGGUGCCAGGUGGUGCCGGAUGGUGCCAAUGUUGGUUGAUGCCAGUGCCAGGAGGUUUCGGUGCCAGUCCUGGUGCCAGGAGGUUCAGUGGACCACAAUGAUGGUGCCAGAUGGUGCCAGAUGGUGCCAAUGCCCGGUGUGCCAGUGCAAGAAGGCUUGGUUGCUGGUGCCAGGUGGUGCCAAGGCUGGUUGGUGCUGGUGCCAGGAGGUUUUGGUGCAAGUCCUGAUGCCACGAAGCCUGGUUAAGCGCGGUGGUGGUGCCCGAUGGUGCCAGAUGGUGCCAGAUGGUGCCAGUGCCAGGAGGUUUUGGUGCCAGUCCUGGUGCCAGGAAGCUCGGUGGACCACGGUGGUGGUGCUUGAUUGUUCCAGAUGGUGCCAGUGCCCGAUGGUGCUAGUACAAGGAGGCUCGGUUGCUGGUGCCAGGCGGUGCCAAGGCUGGUUGGUGAUGGUGCCAGGAGGUUUUGGUGCCAGUCCUGGUGCCAAGAGUCUUGGUUGAGCACGGUGAUGGUGCCAGGUGUUGGUGGAUGGUGCCAGUGCUGGUUGGUGCUGGUGCCAGGGGGUUUUGGUGCCAGUCCUGGUGCCAUGAAGCUCAGUGGAGCACAGUGAUGGUGCCUGAUGGUGCCAGAUGGUGCCAGUGCCAGUUAGUACCAGUGCCAGGGGGCUCGGUUGAGCACGGUGCUGGUGCCAGGUGGUGCCAAGGCUGGUUAGUGGUGGUACCAGGAGGUUUUGGUGCCAGUCCUGGUGCCAUGAAGCCUGGUUAAGCACAGUGCUGGUGUCUGAUGGUGCCAGUGCCAGUUGGUGCUGGUGCCAAGUGUCUUGGUUGAGCAUGGUGCUGGUGCCUGAUGGUGCCAGAUGGUGCCAGUGCCAGAGGGUACCAAUGCCAUGAAGCUUGGUCGAGCACAGUGAUGGUGCCAGAUGGUGCCAAUGCUGGUUGAUGCCAGUGCCAGGAGGUUUUGGUGCCAGUCCUGGUGCCAUGAAGCCUGGUUAAGCGCGGUGGUGGUGCCAGAUGGUGCCAGGUGGUGCCAGUGCUGGUUGGUGCCAGUGCCAUGAAGCUUGGUUAAGCACAGUGCUGGUGCCAGAUGGUGCCAGAUGGUGCCAGUGCUGGCUGGUGCCAGUGCCAGGAGGUUUUGGUGCCAGUCCUGGUGCCACGAAGCCUGGUUAAGCGCGGUGGUGGUGCCUGAUGGUGCCGGAUGGUGCUGGCACCAGGAAGUUUUGAUGCCAGUCCUGGUGCCAGGACCAUGAUGGUGGUGCCCGAUGGUGCCAGAUGGUGCCAGUGCCAAAUUUUGGGGUCGAGGGGGGGGUUUCCGGGGGGGUUGGCAGUG